CCGUCAUGCCCUUAGAUGUUCUGGGCCGCACGCGCGUUACAAUGGCAUGUAUACACAGUGCCUAAAAGGGCAUCCCCGGGGCCUAACGGCUUCUGGUAACCCUUAGUCCCUGCCUGACUGGGACAGACUAUUGAAAUUAUUGGUCUCUAACGAGGAA
rnacentral:rRNA from 1 species